ACAGUUUCACAGCUACGACAGGAGAGAUGAAGAUGUCCUUUCCUUUCCCUACAUCCAUCCAACAAGACUGUGUGCGCAAGGCAAGGCCAAAGGAGGAAGUUGCGAAAAGAAGGGGAGCAGAAGGGGAAGCACACCGUCAUGUGGAGGUACUAUGAUGCAAGCACAUGGCUUCCAGAUGACAUACAUGUUCUUCCUGUUAACAAACUAGCUGAUCUCAGCUAUCAGCCCCUCUGAGCUACUUUUGCAGUCUCUUAGAGUGGUUGACUUACUCUUUUGCUGUGAGCUACCAAGGUUAAAGAUGGAUCUGAAUCCUAUGGAAUUGGAGAGAUUUGUCCAGACUGAGGGUGGCUUUUGGGGAGGGUAGGUCUAACAUGUGGGCAGUACUGUCAGCUGGUGCUGCAGAGUUAUGCCACCUUCCUGGAUAACCCUACACAAAUCCCCUUGGCAGAUGUACAGAAGAAAGACAACUUUUGUCAGCUCCACUUGUGCUGUCUGUGUAUCUGAUACAAUCAGACCAGCAGGGAAGCUAUUCAUGAAUGCUGUUUCCUCUCAGGGGCUUUACAGAGAAAGCCUUGCUCACAAUUCAAAAAAUUUGGUGCUGCUUCUCCCAUCAAAAUCUGGUUGUGUGAAACAAUAAGAAAUGUCAUAUUUAAUCACAUAUUCACAAAGUAUUGUUUUCAUACAUAAAGCCAUCUGUUCUGAUCAACUUUUUCUGCCCAUACAUCAGUUCAGAGCAAGACAAGAUUAUGAUUAUCGUUAUUUAUAAUAUUACCCUCAUUGUCUCUGGCAUGCUAACAUCCACUUGUUCUCAUCUGAUUUCCCACCAUGUAAAUUAGCUAGAGCAGCAGAAACUGUAGAUUGAGAAAGAGAUCCUCACCAGAUUAUUCCCAAGAACUGAUGAGUGUGUGAGGCCAGCUCAGCCACUUCUGUGCAGUACAUCUGGAGGAGAGUUUUAAGGGGCCAUGGCAGUAGCCCCCAGGUUCCUAGGUAGCAUAUGGGUCAGGAGCUGGGUUACGAGUGGCAAAGACCUCUGAGACCCAGGAAGGCGUUUUUUAAAUGAGGCAGAGCUAUACAUAGACAAAAAUCAGUAAUCUAGACAGCCUUUCAAGUCAUUGCCUUUCUUGCUGGUAAGAUUAUUACUUGAAUUUUGUGAAUAAAAUUGCACACCACCUACUGUGAGAACAAAUGUUGGAACUUUCUCAUUUUUAAACAAUCCAGUUCAUGUAUUGGUUAUGGAGUUCCUGGACCGACUGAGUACAAUAACAGUAGUUUCUGGAGGGAAUAAAGCCCACAGGCAGUAGGAAACCAAAGGGGGAGUUAAGACAUGACAAGAAACAAGUACUGAACAAAUGAAGUUGAAAUUCUCUGAAAGAAGGGAAUGGUUGUAAGGUUUCAACAAAGAUUCAGAGUGCAACCUAAAACCAGUGCAGUCAGUUUUUGCACAGAGCUAGAUCAGCUUUGGACCAUGUCCAAAGAGGAAAACUGUGUACCAAGUUGACCUCUUCCAAGUUUCUUACAGGGGCAUUUUGAUCCACUUAGUGAAUAAAGUAAUCCAGCAACGUUCUUUACACUGCUGGAGUUUAUUUUGCAACAUACUGUGUGUAUCUUACCAAGAAUGUGCAAAAUCCAUUCUAGUCUACAGACACUCAGUGCACUGCAAGGGGCUCCUUAAAGAACAGCAUCUUAGAUAGAGUUAACAAACAAAGACUUCCACAGCUGAUGAUAACCAUAUAGGAUCAGUCUUACCCUUCCCCAUGUGAUUAGGUUGGUGUCUAAAAGCAGAAUAAGUCUGAAGAAAAUUUGGGGACAGGACACGGCCCUGUAUUAAAACCACACAAAAGUAUCCACAGAUAGGCAGCACUCAGGUAUCUUUGGGUGACUAUCGUAUGUAUUUUUAAUAUUGCAACUUUUAUUUUCAUAAGAGGUCUACUGCUGGAGCUUAUAGGCAUAAUGGGACUGGAUUUCUUAUCGGUGCAAAGAAUCUUCAAAUUAUUAAAUAAUAAAAUACUGCUCAGAGCAAAAGAACUUUGUUUAACAUGGAAAUACUGCUCAUUCAUUGUGAUUUCUGUAUCUUUUAAGAUAAAAGAAUCAGUUU
rnacentral:lncRNA from 1 species